ACUAAGCGUACACGGUGGAUGCCCUGGCAGUCAGAGGCGAUGAAGGACGUGCUAAUCUGCGAAAAGCGUCGGUAAGGUGAUAUGAACCGUUAUAACCGGCGAUGUCCGAAUGGGGAAACCCAGUGCAAUUCGUUGCACUAUCGUUAACUGAAUACAUAGGUUAACGAGGCGAACCGGGGGAACUGAAACAUCUAAGUACCCCGAGGAAAAGAAAUCAACCGAGAUUCCCCCAGUAGCGGCGAGCGAACGGGGAGCAGCCCAGAGUCUGAAUCAGCUUGUGUGUUAGUGGAACGGUCUGGAAAGUCCGACGGUACAGGGUGAUAGUCCCGUACACCAAAAUGCACAGGUUGUGAACUCGAAGAGUAGGGCGGGACACGUGGUAUCCUGUCUGAAUAUGGGGGGACCAUCCUCCAAGGCUAAAUACUCCUGACUGACCGAUAGUGAACCAGUACCGUGAGGGAAAGGCGAAAAGAACCCCGGCGAGGGGAGUGAAAAAGAACCUGAAACCGUGUACGUACAAGCAGUGGGAGCACCUUCGGGUGUGACUGCGUACCUUUUGUAUAAUGGGUCAGCGACUUAUAUUCUGUAGCAAGGUUAACCGUAUAGGGGAGCCGCAGGGAAACCGAGUCUUAACUGGGCGUUAAGUUGCAGGGUAUAGACCCGAAACCCGGUGAUCUAGCCAUGGGCAGGUUGAAGGUUGGGUAACACUAACUGGAGGACCGAACCGACUAAUGUUGAAAAAUUAGCGGAUGACUUGUGGCUGGGGGUGAAAGGCCAAUCAAACCGGGAGAUAGCUGGUUCUCCCCGAAAGCUAUUUAGGUAGCGCCUCGUGAACUCAUCUUCGGGGGUAGAGCACUGUUUCGGCUAGGGGGUCAUCCCGACUUACCAACCCGAUGCAAACUACGAAUACCGAAGAAUGUUAUCACGGGAGACACACGGCGGGUGCUAACGUCCGUCGUGAAGAGGGAAACAACCCAGACCGCCAGCUAAGGUCCCAAAGUCAUGGUUAAGUGGGAAACGAUGUGGGAAGGCACAGACAGCCAGGAUGUUGGCUUAGAAGCAGCCAUCAUUUAAAGAAAGCGUAAUAGCUCACUGGUCGAGUCGGCCUGCGCGGAAGAUGUAACGGGGCUAAACCAUGCACCGAAGCUGCGGCAGCGACACUAUGUGUUGUUGGGUAGGGGAGCGUUCUGUAAGCCUGCGAAGGUGACCUGUGAGGGUUGCUGGAGGUAUCAGAAGUGCGAAUGCUGACAUAAGUAACGAUAAAGCGGGUGAAAAGCCCGCUCGCCGGAAGACCAAGGGUUCCUGUCCAACGUUAAUCGGGGCAGGGUGAGUCGACCCCUAAGGCGAGGCCGAAAGGCGUAGUCGAUGGGAAACAGGUUAAUAUUCCUGUACUUGGUGUUACUGCGAAGGGGGGACGGAGAAGGCUAUGUUAGCCGGGCGACGGUUGUCCCGGUUUAAGCAUGUAGGCUGGUUAUCCAGGCAAAUCCGGAUAAUCAAGGCUGAGGUGUGAUGACGAGGCACUACGGUGCUGAAGUAACAAAUGCCCUGCUUCCAGGAAAAGCCUCUAAGCAUCAGGUAACAUCAAAUCGUACCCCAAACCGACACAGGUGGUCAGGUAGAGAAUACCAAGGCGCUUGAGAGAACUCGGGUGAAGGAACUAGGCAAAAUGGUGCCGUAACUUCGGGAGAAGGCACGCUGGUGUGUAGGUGAAGUCCCUGCGGAUGGAGCUGAGACCAGUCGAAGAUACCAGCUGGCUGCAACUGUUUAUUAAAAACACAGCACUGUGCAAACACGAAAGUGGACGUAUACGGUGUGACGCCUGCCCGGUGCCGGAAGGUUAAUUGAUGGGGUUAUCCGUAAGGAGAAGCUCUUGAUCGAAGCCCCGGUAAACGGCGGCCGUAACUAUAACGGUCCUAAGGUAGCGAAAUUCCUUGUCGGGUAAGUUCCGACCUGCACGAAUGGCGUAAUGAUGGCCAGGCUGUCUCCACCCGAGACUCAGUGAAAUUGAACUCGCUGUGAAGAUGCAGUGUACCCGCGGCAAGACGGAAAGACCCCGUGAACCUUUACUAUAGCUUGACACUGAACAUUGAGCCUUGAUGUGUAGGAUAGGUGGGAGGCUUUGAAGCGUGGACGCCAGUCUGCGUGGAGCCAACCUUGAAAUACCACCCUUUAAUGUUUGAUGUUCUAACGUUGGCCCCUGACCGGGGUUGCGGACAGUGUCUGGUGGGUAGUUUGACUGGGGCGGUCUCCUCCCAAAGCGUAACGGAGGAGCACGAAGGUUAGCUAAUCCUGGUCGGACAUCAGGAGGUUAGUGCAAUGGCAUAAGCUAGCUUGACUGCGAGCGUGACGGCGCGAGCAGGUGCGAAAGCAGGUCAUAGUGAUCCGGUGGUUCUGAAUGGAAGGGCCAUCGCUCAACGGAUAAAAGGUACUCCGGGGAUAACAGGCUGAUACCGCCCAAGAGUUCAUAUCGACGGCGGUGUUUGGCACCUCGAUGUCGGCUCAUCACAUCCUGGGGCUGAAGUAGGUCCCAAGGGUAUGGCUGUUCGCCAUUUAAAGUGGUACGCGAGCUGGGUUUAGAACGUCGUGAGACAGUUCGGUCCCUAUCUGCCGUGGGCGCUGGAGAAUUGAGGGGGGCUGCUCCUAGUACGAGAGGACCGGAGUGGACGCAUCACUGGUGUUCGGGUUGUCAUGCCAAUGGCACUGCCCGGUAGCUAAAUGCGGAAGAGAUAAGUGCUGAAAGCAUCUAAGCACGAAACUUGCCCCGAGAUGAGUUCUCCCUGAGACUAUAAGUCUCCUGAAGGAACGUUAAAGACGAUGACGUUGAUAGGCCGGGUGUGUAAGCGCAGCGAUGCGUUGAGCUAACCGGUACUAAUGAACCGUGAGGCUUAACC
rnacentral:rRNA from 1 species